rnacentral:piRNA from 1 species
UGAGCCUUGAAGGUAGAGAAGGUUACCCCA